rnacentral:lncRNA from 1 species
GAAAACAUAGGAAAAAAAUAUUUGUGACCUUAGGUUAGGCAAAGAUUUCUUAGACGCAACACCAAAAGAAUGAUCCGUAAAAGAAAAAAAGGAUAAAUUGGACUUUAUAAAAAUGAAGAACUUCUGCUCUUCAGAAAGACAGUUUAAGAGAAUGAGAAGUUGAGACUCAUUUAUCAAAUGAGUCUUUUUUUUUUUUUUGGUGGGAGACCAGAGUUUUAAUCAUUACUCAAAUCAGUCUCUAUGAACAUUCGGGGAGCAGAGUUUUAAAGGAUAACUUGGUGGGUCACCUGUAACUACCUUUACCUCCAGCCUCCGUUCCUGAGAACGACAGGAACCCCGUCUUUAUCAAGGAGCCCGCUGGUCACCUGAAAGCUGCCGGUACCCUGUGGAUUGGGAAAGGGUGAACUAGGACAGGCUUGGGAGUCAGGCACCGGAGUCUGGGAUCUGCGCUGCCAU